rnacentral:tRNA from 1 species
GGCACAGUAGCUCAGUGGUAGAGCAAGCGGUUCAUACCCGCUCGGCCGCUGGUUCAAAUCCAGCCUGUGCCACCA